AUUGAACGCUGGCGGCAGGCUUAACACAUGCAAGUCGAGCGGGGAAGGUUGCUUCGGUAACUGACCUAGCGGCGGACGGGUGAGUAGUGCUUAGGAAUCUGCCUAUUAGUGGGGGACAACGUUCCGAAAGGAACGCUAAUACCGCAUACGCCCUACGGGGGAAAGCAGGGGAUCUUCGGACCUUGCGCUAAUAGAUGAGCCUAAGUCGGAUUAGCUAGUUGGUGGGGUAAAGGCCUACCAAGGCGACGAUCUGGAGCGGGUCUGAGAGGAUGAUCCGCCACACUGGGACUGAGACACGGCCCAGACUCCUACGGGAGGCAGCAGUGGGGAAUAUUGGACAAUGGGCGGAAGCCUGAUCCAGCCAUGCCGCGUGUGUGAAGAAGGCCUUUUGGUUGUAAAGCACUUUAAGCGAGGAGGAGGCUCCUUUAGUUAAUACCUAAAGUGAGUGGACGUUACUCGCAGAAUAAGCACCGGCUAACUCUGUGCCAGCAGCCGCAGUAA
rnacentral:rRNA from 1 species